CGCUAAAGCUGGGAGAGCAGCGUAGGUAAGACAGGGAGUGAAAGCGGUAUUCGGAUUCACUGGUGCGAAAGUGGGCGAAGGCAGGUGGUCGUGGAAGAUGAGAAAUCUCAAGGCUUAACCUCGGAACUGCGUCUGAAACUACUCGGCCAGAGUAUUGGAGAGGGUAACUGAAUUCACGGUGUAGCAGUGAAAUGCGUAGAUAUCGUGAGGAACACCAGAGGCGAAGGCGGUUACCUGGACAAUUACUGACGCUCAGGCACGAAAGCAUGGGGAGCAAAAGGGAUUAGAUACCUCUGUAGUC
rnacentral:rRNA from 1 species